AUGUGGGGAAUAGACGCUGUCAGCCCCAUUCACCUUUCAGCUUUUUUUUCCACAGCUCAUUUGUUCGUAAAGAGAAAUAGGCUAUCAUAUACGCGUCUCCGACUAUUCCCUGAAUGCAGCAUAAUUUUCAACGGGAUUCUCCUUUUUCACCAUCCGCGCAGAUGCAGUUCAAGGACGCCUGCAGGCAGCACGACCUACGCUGUGCUUCUGACGUGACACAAGGACCAUCACCAGCUGACCUUGUGGACAGAAUUGCUGGAUGUAAGCAGUGAUUUCACUCACAACCCUGGAGCUUUGAAGUACAAAUCCAGUGCCAUGGAAUCCCACAAGACUUGACAGCAUUACGAUCCUGUACUUAUCUUAACAAUGGCAAACAUGAUUUUAAACGACAUUCAUGCUUAGCUCUUGCCUCCUUUUUGGGGGAAUGGCUGUGAAUCUUCAUCAUACCUUUCAUUUACCUAAAAAAACAAGGUUUGGAAGCUAAAAACUGUAAGGUCUCUUGGCAGAACGUAACAGAACAAUUUUCCUUCUAUUGUGGUGGCUAACCAUAC
rnacentral:lncRNA from 1 species